UCAUGGAACUUCCUCCCAAGACAGAGAAACCACAGGGGUAAGUUCUCUUUUCCAAGUAAGUACAUUAAUCUGCUUCUCCAAAUUUGAACUGUGCAGGGGACAGAUUCCCCGAACUCCUGCAAAGCCAGAUUCCGCCCAUGCGGGAACCAACUUCAACCAAUGUCCACCAUUCUUCAAUCAACGAACGUGUUGCUAAGAGCCUACAAACUGCCAUUCUCUGUGUGUGUGUGUGUGUGUGAGUGGUGGGGUGGGAGGGUGGACAAGAGUGGUUGGCAUGCAAAAUGAAGUAUUUUUAUUUAUUUAUUUAUUCGGAACAGGGCCUCACUCUGUCAACUAGGCUGGAGUGCAGUGGCAUGAUUAUAGCUCACCACAGUCUUGAACUCCUGGGCUCGAUCGAUCCUGCCGCUUCCUGAGUAGCUGGGACUACAGGCAUGUACCACCACACCCAGCUAAUUUUUAAAAAAAUUUUCGUAGAGAUAGGGUCUUGCUAUGUUGCCCAGGCUCAACAUGAAUUAUUCUUAAUGUGAAGGGAAAUGUCUUCACAGAAGGUGU
rnacentral:lncRNA from 1 species